UACGGAAGGGGUAAGCGUUGUUCGGAAUCAUUGGGCGUAAAGGGCGCGUAGGUGGUUCUGUAUGUCUACCGUGAAAGCGUACGGCUCAACCGUAUUUUGUCGGUGGAAACUGCAGGACUUGAGGCUGGGAGGGGCUGGUGGAAUUCCCUGUGUAGCGGUGAAAUGCGUAGAGAUGGGGGAGAACACUCGUGGCGAAGGCGGCCAGCUAGACCAGUUCUGACACUGAGGCGCGACAGCGUGGGGAGCAAACAGG
rnacentral:rRNA from 1 species